rnacentral:rRNA from 1 species
UGGGGAAUAUUGCACAAUGGGGGAACCCGUGCAUGCAGCGACGCCGCGUGAGUGAAGAAGUAUCUCGGUAUGUAAAGCUCUAUCAGCAGGGAAGAAGAUGACGGUACCUGACUAAGAAGCCCCGGCUAACUACGUGCCAGCAGCCGCGGUAAUACGUAGGGGGCGAGCGUUAUCCGGAUUUACUGGGUGUAAAGGGAGCGUAGACGGCCGUGCAAGUCAGGAGUGAAAACCCGCGGCUCAACUGCGGGACUGCUCUUGAGGCUGUAUGGCUGGAGUGCAGGAGAGGUAAGUGGAAUUCCUAGUGUAGCGGUGAAAUGCGUAGAUAUUAGGAGGAACACCAGUGGCGAAGGCGGCUUACUGGACUGUGACUGACGUUGAGGCUCGAAAGCGUGGGGAGCAAACAGGAUUAGAUACCC